rnacentral:rRNA from 1 species
AUGGCUCCACCGUCGCAGUGCUUCGACGCCACCAUGCACGGCGCGGCCCACAAUGGCGCCGCCCCGGCGGUGGCUGACGCGAAGCCGCAGUGCCCCACCGUGCUCGACGCCGACGUGUUCCGGCGCCAGGGCCACCAGGUCAUCGACUUCAUCGCCGAGUACUACGGCGGCAUGGGGGACCACCCCGUGCACCCCAGCGUCACGCCCGGCUUCCUCCGCAAUGUGCUCCCCGCGGAGGCGCCGUCCCGCCCGGAGCCCGACGCGUUCGGCUCCGCGCUCAGGGACGUCCGCGACCUCAUCCUCCCGGGCAUGACGCACUGGCAGAGCCCGCGCCACUUCGCGCACUUCCCGGCGUCCAGCAGCACCGUCGGGGCCCUCGGGGAGGCGCUCAUUGCCGGCAUCAACGUGGUGCCCUUCACCUGGGCCGCCUCGCCGGCCGCCACCGAGCUGGAGAUGGUGGUCGUGGACUGGCUCGGCAAGGCGCUGCAUUUGCCCGAGAGCCUCCUGUUCGCCGGUGGCGGCGGGGGCACGCUUCUGGGCACCUCGUGCGAGGCCAUACUCUGCGCCCUCGUCGCCGCCAGGGACAAGAAGCUCGCCGAGAUCGGCGAGAGGAGGAUCGGCGACCUUGUCGUCUACUGCUCCGACCAGACCCAUUUCGCCUUCCGCAAGGCUGCACGGAUCGCCGGGAUCCUGCGUGACCACUGCCGCGCGAUACACACGUGCCGUGAAGACAUGUUCGCGCUCUCGCCCACGGAGCUGCAAGCCGCCAUGCAGGCCGACGUGGACGCCGGGCUGGUGCCGCUGUUCCUGUGCGCGACGGUCGGGACCACCCAGACGACCGCCGUUGACCCCAUCGGUAAACUCUGCACCGUCGCAGCGUCUCACGGCGUCUGGGUCCACGUCGACGCGGCCUACGCUGGCUCGGCGCUGGUCUGCCCGGAGUUCCGGCACGUGAUCGACGGCGUGGAGGCCGUGGACUCGUUCAGCAUGAACGCCCACAAGUGGCUCCUGGCCAACAACGACUGCUGCGCGAUGUGGGUGAAGAGGCCGAGCGAGCUCAUCGCGGCGCUGGGCACGGAGCAGGAGUACAUCCUCAAGGACGCGGCGUCGGAGGGGCACGACGUGGUGGACUACAAGGACUGGACCAUGACGCUGACCCGCCGGUUCCGGGCGCUCAAGAUGUGGCUCGUGCUCCGCUGCUACGGCGUCAACGGCCUGCGCGACCACAUCCGCUCCCACGUGCGCAUGGCCGAGGCGUUCGAGGACAUGGUGCGCGCCGACGAGAGGUUCGAGGUGGUGACGGACAGGCAGUUCGCGCUGGUGUGCUUCCGGCUCCGGUCGCCGGAGAGGUUCGGCGGCGAGAAGACGGCCAACGAGCUCAACCGGGGCCUGCUCGAGGAGGUGAACGCGGUCGGCCCGGGCCCAUACAUGAGCUCCGCGAACGUAGGCGGCGUCUACAUGCUCAGGUGCGCCGUCGGGAGCACGCUCACGGAGGAGUACCACGUCGCUGACGCAUGGAAGGUGGUGCAGGAUCGGGCCUCGGUAAUCCUCCGGAAAAUGGAAAUUAUCUACAGCGUGCUUGGUUAA